rnacentral:rRNA from 1 species
AAGUUUUCGAAUGGAUUUAAAGCAGCUUAGUGGCGGACGGGUGAGUAACGCGUGGGUAACCUGCCUCACACUGGGGGAUAACAGUUAGAAAUAGCUGCUAAUACCGCAUAAGCGCACAAUGUUGCAUGACAUGGUGUGAAAAACUCCGGUGGUAUAAGAUGGACCCGCGUCUGAUUAGCCAGUUGGCAGGGUAACGGCCUACCAAAGCGACGAUCAGUAGCCGACCUGAGAGGGUGACCGGCCACAUUGGGACUGAGAUACGGCCCAGACUCC